GCUUGUCUCAAAGAUUAAGCCAUGCAUGUCCAAGUAUAAGCAAUUGUACAGUGAAACUGCGAAUGGCUCAUUAUAUCAGUUAUAAUUCAUUUGGGAGUGGAUUUACAUGGAUAACCGUGGUAAUUCUAGAGCUAAUACAUGCAGACGGCCCACACGGGCAGUAUUUAUUAGAUACAGCCGACGGCACGGAGACGUGCGUUGGGGAGUCAUGAUAACUUGGCGGAUCGCAGGGCGUUGGCCGGCGACGUUCCAAAGAAAUUUCUGCCCUAUCAACUUACGAUGGUAGGAUAGAGGCCUACCAUGGUUGUGACGGGUGACGGGGAAUUAGGGUUCGAUUCCGGAGAGGGAGCCUGAGAGACGGCUACCACAUCUAAGGAAGGCAGCAGG
rnacentral:rRNA from 1 species